rnacentral:rRNA from 1 species
AUUGAACGCUGGCGGCAUGCCUAACACAUGCAAGUCGAACGGCAGCAUGAAUAGGGGUAACCUUAUUUGAUGGCGAGUGGCGGACGGGUGAGUAAUAUGUAGGAAUCUACCUAGGGGAGGGGGAUAACUUGGGGAAACCCAAGCUAGUACCACAUAAGCCCUACGGGGGAAAGCAGGGGACCGCAAGGCCUUGCGCCUUAUGAUGAGCCUACAUCGGAUUAGCUAGUUGGUGGGGUAAAGGCAUACCAAGGCGACGAUCCGUAGCUGGUCGGAGAGGAUGCUCAGCCAAACUGGGACUGAGACACGGCCCAGACUCCUACGGGAGGCAGCAGUGGGGAAUAUUGGACAAUGGGCGAAAGCCUGAUCCAGCAAUGCCGCGUGUGUGAAGAAGGCCUUAGGGUUGUAAAGCACUUUCAGUAGGGAGGAAGGGUGUAACGCUAAUAUCGUUGCACAUUGACGUUACCUACAGAAGAAGCACCGGCUAACUCUGUGCCAGCCGCCGCCGUAA